CGUUAAGCUUUUUAUCAUCCUGGCGUCGAGCUAUUUUUCCGCAGGGCUUCCCCUACAGUAUCGUCACCGCAGUAGAGUUUAACCACCAAGUUCGGGAUGGAUUGGUGUGGUUCCUCCACGCCUAGGACACCAGAA
rnacentral:rRNA from 1 species